GAUGAACGCUGGCGGCGUGCCUAAUACAUGCCAGUCGAGCGAACGGACGAGAAGCUUGCUUCUCUGAUGUUAGCGGCGGACAGGUGAGUAACACGUGGAUAACCUACCUAUAAGACUGGGAUAACUUCGGGAAACCGUAGCUAAUACCGGAUAAUAUUUUGAACCGCAUGGUUCAAAAGUGAAAGACGGUCUUGCUGUCACUUAUAGAUGGAUCCGCGCUGCAUUAGCUAGUUGGUAAGGUAACGGCUUACCAAGGCAACGAUGCAUAGCCGACCUGAGAGGGUGAUCGGCCACACUGGAACUGAGACACGGUCCAGACUCCUACGGGAGGCAGCAGUAGGGAAUCUUCCGCAAUGGGCGAAAGCCUGACGGAGCAACGCCGCGUGAGUGAUGAAGGUCUUCGGAUCGUAAAACUCUGUUAUUAGGGAAGAACAUAUGUGUAAGUAACUGUGCACAUCUUGACGGUACCUAAUCAGAAAGCCACGGCUAACUACGUG
rnacentral:rRNA from 1 species